UUUAUCCAAAAGAAAUCCACCUUUCAGCAAAAUAAAAGGAAUUAACUCUAACGCAAUAUGACGUUGACCUUGUGUAAAAAUCACAAGAAAUUGGAAACUUGUCACGUUAAGAAAACACUUAAUUGAAGUGCAUGACCGUAGGCGGUAUUUCGUUGGCCCAGGAAAAGGAGCAUUUUGGACACGUGUGCCUGACUUUCCAGUAUCUAUGCAUAAUUGAUUGAAGAAUUGAAGCGAAUGGAGUGACGCCAAUACCGGCUCCUAUCAACACCGCAUGCUGUGCCUGGAAUAUAUGACUGGAAGGUGCUCCAUAUGGACCAUCAAGAUUCAUAAAUUUACCUUCUUGCUCUGGUGCACUGCUAAUAGUGAAUGGAUGCCAUUCAUAUUUUGCAAUCACAGGAAUAUUAACAAAAACAUAAUCUCCAGGAUGAAAAUCAAGAUGAGGUGGUCUUUUAAUGACUAGGUGAGUGACU